GGGCGCUUAGCUCAGCUGGCUAGAGCACAUCCCUUACAAGGAUGCGGUCGGGGGUUCGAGUCCCUCAGCGCCCA
rnacentral:tRNA from 1 species